rnacentral:rRNA from 1 species
UGGGGAAUAUUGCACAAUGGAGGAAACUCUGAUGCAGCGAUGCCGCGUGAGGGAAGAAGGUUUUAGGAUUGUAAACCUCUGUCUUCAGGGACGAAAAAAGGACGGUACCUGAGGAGGAAGCUCCGGCUAACUACGUGCCAGCAGCCGCGGUAAUACGUAGGGAGCGAGCGUUGUCCGGAAUUACUGGGUGUAAAGGGAGCGUAGGCGGGAUCGCAAGUCAGAUGUGAAAACUAUGGGCUCAACCCAUAAACUGCAUUUGAAACUGUAGAGCUUGAGUGAAGUAGAGGCAGGCGGAAUUCCCCGUGUAGCGGUGAAAUGCGUAGAGAUGGGGAGGAACACCAGUGGCGAAGGCGGCCUGCUGGGCUUUAACUGACGCUGAGGCACGAAAGCGUGGGUAGCAAACAGGAUUAGAUACCCUGGUAGUCCACGCUGUAAACGAUGAUUACUAGGUGUGGGGGGUCUGACCCCUUCCGUGCCGGAGUUAACACAAUAAGUAAUCCACCUGGGGAGUACGGCCGCAAGGUUGAAACUCAAAGGAAUUGACGGGGGCCCGCACAAGCAGUGGAGUAUGUGGUUUAAUUCGAAGCAACGCGAAGAACCUUACCAGGUCUUGACAUCCAACUAACGAAGUAGAGAUACAUUAGGUGCCCUUCGGGGAAAGUUGAGACAGGUGGUGCAUGGUUGUCGUCAGCUCGUGUCGUGAGAUGUUGGGUUAAGUCCCGCAACGAGCGCAACCCUUGCUAUUAGUUGCUACGCAAGAGCACUCUAAUAGGACUGCCGUUGACAAAACGGAGGAAGGUGGGGACGACGUCAAAUCAUCAUGCCCCUUAUGACCUGGGCUACACACGUACUACAAUGGAUGUUAACAGAGGGAAGCAAGACAGCGAUGUGGAGCAAACCCCUAAAAACAUUCUCAGUUCAGAUUGCAGGCUGCAACCCGCCUGCAUGAAGAUGGAAUUGCUAGUAAUCGCGGAUCAGCAUGCCGCGGUGAAUACGUUCCC